rnacentral:rRNA from 1 species
CCUAGGGGAGGCUGCAGUGGGGAAUAUUGGACAAUGGGCGAAAGCCUGAUCCAGCCAUGCCGCGUGUGUGAAGAAGGCCUUCGGGUUGUAAAGCACUUUCAGUGGGGAAGAAAGCCUUGGGGCUAAUACCCUCGAGGAAGGACAUCACCCACAGAAGAAGCACCGGCUAACUCCGUGCCAGCAGCCGCGGUAAUACGGAGGGUGCGAGCGUUAAUCGGAAUUACUGGGCGUAAAGCGCGCGUAGGCGGUCUGAUAAGCCGGUUGUGAAAGCCCCGGGCUCAACCUGGGAACGGCAUCCGGAACUGUCAGGCUAGAGUGCAGGAGAGGAAGGUAGAAUUCCCGGUGUAGCGGUGAAAUGCGUAGAGAUCGGGAGGAAUACCAGUGGCGAAGGCGGCCUUCUGGACUGACACUGACGCUGAGGUGCGAAAGCGUGGGUAGCAAACAGGAUUAGAUACCCGGGUAGUC